GGGUANUAAUUUAAAACCUAAAGAAUUUGGCGGUUUUUAAACUNACUAGAGGAACCUGUCCUGUAAUCGAUAGUCCACGAUUUUAUUUACCUAUCUUUGUAAUCAGCUUAUAUACCGCCGUUUAGUGAACUAAACUAAUAGUUUCUCUAAAUCAAUUAGUUGAAGAAAUCAGGUCAAGGUGUAGUUUAUAGAUAGGAAGAGAUGGGUUACAAUAAAACUUUACACGAAUGUUUAAUUUUAGGGUUAAAUUGAAGGUGGAUUUAGAAGUAAAUUUUAGUGAUUUGAAGAAAGCUCUUAGAAAUGUACACAU
rnacentral:rRNA from 1 species